rnacentral:rRNA from 1 species
UACGUAGGGCGCAAGCGUUAUCCGGAAUUAUUGGGCGUAAAGAGCUCGUAGGCGGUUUGUUGCGUCGGCUGUGAAAACCUGAGGCUCAACCUCAGGCCUGCAGUCGAUACGAGCAGACUAGAGUGUUGCAGGGGAGACUGGAAUUCCUGGUGUAGAGGUGAAAUUCGUAGAUAUCGGGAGGAACACCGGUGGCGAAGGCGGCGACCUGGGUAGAUACUGACGCUGAGGUGCGAAAGCGUGGGGAGCAAACAGG